GACGAACGCUGGCGGCGUGCUUAACACAUGCAAGUCGAACGGUGAAGCGCCUUCCUUUUUGGUGGGUGUGGAUGAGUGGCGAACGGGUGAGUAACACGUGAGUAACCUGCCCCCUUCUUCUGGAUAACCGCAUGAAAGUGUGGCUAGUACGGGAUAUUCUGGGUCUGUCGCAUGAUGGGUCUGGGAAAGAUAUUGUUUCGGUGGGGGAUGGGCUCGCGGCCUAUCAGCUUGUUGGUGGGGUGAUGGCCUACCAAGGCGGUGACGGGUAGCCGGCCUGAGAGGGUGGACGGUCACACUGGGACUGAGACACGGCCCAGACUCCUACGGGAGGCAGCAGUGGGGAAUAUUGCACAAUGGGCGCAAGCCUGAUGCAGCGACGCCGCGUGAGGGAUGGAGGCCUGCGGGUUGUGAACCUCUUUCGCCAGUGAAGCAGGCCUGCCUCGUUUGUGGGUGGGUUGACGGUAGCUGGAUAAGAAGCGCCGGCUAACUACGUG
rnacentral:rRNA from 1 species